GUAGGGAAUAUUGGUUAAUGUGCGAAAGCGCGAACCAGCAACGCCGCGUGUGCGACGACGGCCUUCGGGUUGUAAAGCACUUUUAGAAGGGAUGAGGAAGGACAGUACCUUCUGAAUAAGCCUCGGCUAACUACGUGCCAGCAGCCGCGGUAAAACGUAGGAGGCGAGCGUUAUCCGGAUUUACUGGGCGUAAAGCGCGUGCAGGUGGUUUGGUAAGUUGGAUGUGAAAGCUCCUGGCUUAACUGGGAGAGGUCGUUCAAUACUACCAGACUCGAGGAUGGGAGAGGGAGGUGGAAUUCCGGGUGUAGUGGUGAAAUGCGUAGAUAUCCGGAGGAACACCAGUGGCGAAAGCGGCCUCCUGGCCCAUUUCUGACACUCAGACGCGAAAGCUAGGGGAGCGAACGGGAUUAGAAACCCUAGUAGUCC
rnacentral:rRNA from 1 species